AGCGAACGCUGGCGGCAGGCCUAACACAUGCAAGUCGAACGAACUCUUCGGAGUUAGUGGCGGACAGGUGAGUAACACGUGGGAACGUGCCUUUAGGUUCGGAAUAACUCAGGGAAACUUGUGCUAAUACCGAAUGUGCCCUUCGGGGGAAAGAUUUAUCGCCUUUAGAGCGGCCCGCGUCUGAUUAGCUAGUUGGUGAGGUAAAGGCUCACCAAGGCGACGAUCAGUAGCUGGUCUGAGAGGAUGAUCAGCCACAUUGGGACUGAGACACGGCCCAAACUCCUACGGGAGGCAGCAGUGGGGAAUCUUGCGCAAUGGGCGAAAGCCUGACGCAGCCAUGCCGCGUGAAUGAUGAAGGUCUUAGGAUUGUAAAAUUCUUUCACCGGGGACGAUAAUGACGGUACCCGGAGAAGAAGCCCCGGCUAACUUCGUG
rnacentral:rRNA from 1 species